rnacentral:rRNA from 1 species
UUUUAAUUUUAUUAUUUGAAAUUAAUUUGUUGUAAUCUUUAUUUAAUAGAAGUAACUUUAUGUUAAUAUUGUCUAAGUAUUGUAGAGAGAAUUGAUUUUUAUUAAUUAUAGUGAAUAGGUAAAGUAAUUGAAUUGUUGAUUUUUAAAAUUUUUUAAGUACUCUUGUUUUGGGGUACCUUUUGUAUCAGGGUUAAUAAAAAUUUUUGUUUUGAUUUUACUUAUCUCGAUUUAGGUUGAUUUAUGAUUUAAUUAUUUUUUAUUGUAUUAUAAAUAUUUAUAAUUUGAUUAUAGAAAUGAAAUGUUAUUCGUUUCCUAAGGUAUCUAGUUUUUCAAGAAAAAAUUUAAUUUUUUAUGGUUUAUUGGUUUAUUACAAAUUUUUGUUUAUUAAUUAUUUUCCUAUUAAUUCUUUAGGGGAUAAGCUCUUGAGUUUUAUAGUUCUAUAAUAUUGAAUUUUAUACUUAAUAGUAGGCUUUUAACCGGUCAUCUUUUUGAUUACGUUUUAGUUCAUUUUAUUUAGUUUUGAUUUUAUAAUAUUUUAGAUGUUUUAUUGAAAUAUUUAAAUUAAUUUUUAAUUUGUUGAAAUAAUGAUUGAAUUAGUAUAUUCUUUUGUAUAUUUUAUUUAGAUUUAAAUUUUAUUUUAAGGAAUUAGGCAAAAAUUUUCUUCGCCUGUUUAUCAAAAACAUGUCUUUUUGAUUAUAAUUUAAGGUCUUGCCUGCUCACUGAUUAAUUUUUAAAGAGCCGCGGUAUUUUGACCGUGCAAAGGUAGCAUAAUCAUUAGUCCCUUAAUUAGGGGCUGGAAUGAAUGGUUUAACGAGAGAAAGACUGUCUCAAAAUAAUUGAUAAAAUUUAACUUUUAAGUUAAAAGGCUUAAAUUUCACUUUAGGACGAGAAGACCCUAUAGAACUUUAUAUAAAAUUUAUUAUCAUUUUGUUGCUAAUUUGUUAUGUUUAUAGUUUAAUAUAUUUUGUUGGGGUGAUGUAAAGAAUAGUUAAACUCUUUAUUUAAGAUGUCAUUAAUUUAUGAAAGAUUGAUCCAUAUUUUGUGAUUAAAAGAUUAAGUUACCUUAGGGAUAACAGCGUAAUUAUUUUUUAGAGUUCAUAUCAACAAAGUAGAUUGCGACCUCGAUGUUGGAUUAAGUUUAGUCCUGGGUGUAUCAGCUUAGGAACUAGGUCUGUUCGACCUUUAAAUUCUUACAUGAUCUGAGUUCAAACCGGCGUGAGCCAGGUUGGUUUCUAUCCUGAGUUUUUAUUCUAUAUUAGUACGAAAGGACCAUAUAGUUGAAAUAUUUUUUAUUUAUUGAAAUUAAUUU